rnacentral:rRNA from 1 species
GGGGGGUGCAAGCGUUAUUCGGAAUUAUUGGGCGUAAAGGGCGCGCAGGCGGUCUCUUAAGUCAGAUGUGAAAGCCCGGGGCUCAACUCCGGAAGUGCAUUUGAAACUAAGGGACUUGAGUAUGGGAGAGGGAAGUGGAAUUCCUGGUGUAGAGGUGAAAUUCGUAGAUAUCAGGAGGAACACCGGUGGCGAAGGCGACUUCCUGGACCAAUACUGACGCUGAGGCGCGAAGGCGUGGGGAGCAAACAGGAUUAGAUACCCUGGUAGUCCACGCAGUAAACGGUGAACACUAGGUGUAGCGGGUAUUUACCCCCCUGCUGUGCCGCAGCUAACGCAUUAAGUGUUCCGCCUGGGGGAGUACGGUCGCAAGAUUA